rnacentral:rRNA from 1 species
GUACACGCUGUGACUAGCAUAUCAAUAAGCGGAGGAAAAGAAACUAACAAGGAUUCCCCUAGUAACGGCGAGUGAAGCGGGAAGAGCUCAAAUUUGAGAUCUUAAAGGGUUUCCCUUUACGAAUUGUAGUUUAAAGAAGUGUUUUCUGUUGAGGUUUUGGUAAAAGUUCUUUGGAAUAGGACAUCAUAGAGGGUGAGAAUCCCGUAUUUGACCUUUACUUUCAACUUUGUGAUACACUUUCAAAGAGUCGGAUUGUUUGGGAAUGCAGUCCAAAAUGGGUGGUAAAUUUCAUCUAAAGCUAAAUAUUGGCGAGAGACCGAUAGCGAACAAGUACCGUGAGGGAAAGAUGAAAAGAACUUUGAAAAGAGAGUUAAACAGUACGUGAAAUUGUCAAAAGGGAAGCGUUUGACACCAGUGUUGUUUUUCUGAAAAUCAAUUAAAGAACUGUUUAUGCUAAGUUGUUUAGACUUUAUCAGGCUAACUGUUUAGUUUUGAGCUUUUCUUUAAUGCACUUUUCAGUUAACAAGUCAACAUCAAUUUCUUUUGCUGUAAAUAAGCUUGAGGAAGGUGGCUUGAGAUUCGUCUUAAGUGUUUAUAGCCUCUUGCCUAUGCAGUCGGAGAGAUUGAGGUCUGCAGCGUAGAUCCUUCGGGGCUAAAUGCAUUUGUGCUAAGUUAUAGCAUUUUAUAGACAACUUGUUGACUAUGAUUUGUCUUGUAGCUUACUCGCUUAUGUUAUUUUACCUACGCUUAGGAUGUUGAGUCGUAGAGCACGCAG